GAUGAACGCUGGCGGCGUGCCUAAUACAUGCAAGUCGAGCGAACAGACGAGGAGCUUGCUCCUCUGACGUUAGCGGCGGACGGGUGAGUAACACGUGGAUAACCUACCUAUAAGACUGGGAUAACUUCGGGAAACCGGAGCUAAUACCGGAUAACAUGUUGAACCGCAUGGUUCAACAGUGAAAGACGGUCUUGCUGUCACUUAUAGAUGGAUCCGCGCCGCAUUAGCUAGUUGGUAAGGUAACGGCUUACCAAGGCAACGAUGCGUAGCCGACCUGAGAGGGUGAUCGGACAGAGUGGAAAUGAGACACGGGGAAGAAGCCGAAGGGAGGAAGCAGUGGGGAAUAUUACGCAAGGGGAGAAAGACUGAAGGAGGAAAACCGAGUGAGUGAUGAAGGUAUUCGGAUCGUAAAACUCUGCUAGUAGGGAAGAACAAAGGUGUACGGAAAGAUGCACGUCUUGACGGUACCUAAUCAGAAAGCCAAGGCUAACUACGUG
rnacentral:rRNA from 1 species